rnacentral:rRNA from 1 species
UUCUGGCUCAGGACGAACGCUGGCGGCGUGCUUCAUACAUGCAAGUCGAACGAUAAGGCACCUUCGGGUGUACAUAAGUGGCGGACGGGUGAGUAAUAUGUAGAGAAUCUGCCCUAGAGAGUGGGACAACAGUUGGAAACGACUGCUAAUACCGCAUAUGAGCGUACCUGAAAUGGUAUUCUUGAAAACUCCGGUGCUCUGGGAUGAGUCUGCAUCUGAUUAGCUAGUUGGGGGUGUAAUGGACCACCAAGGCGACGAUCAGUAGCUGGUUUGAGAGGAUGAUCAGCCACAAUGGGACUGAGACACGGCCCAUACUCCUACGGGAGGCAGCAGUAGGGAAUUUUGCGCAAUGGGGGAAACCCUGACGCCAGCAACGCCGCGUGACCGAUGAAGCCCUUCGGGGUGUAAAGGUCUGUCAGUGGGGACGAAUAUUGACGGUACCCACAGAGGAAGCAUCGGCUAACUCCGUGCCAGCCGCCGC